rnacentral:rRNA from 1 species
UACGUAGGGUGCAAGCGUUGUCCGGAAUUAUUGGGUCGUAAAGAGCGUGUAGGCGGCCCGACCAGUCCGCUGUGAAAGUCCGGGGCUCAACCUCGGAUCGGCCCGUGGCGACUCGUGGGCUGGAGCACUGUAGAGGCGGGUGGAAUUCCGGGUGUAGCGGUGGAAUGCGUAGAGAUCCGGAAGAACACCGGUGGCGAAGGCGGCCUGCUGGGAUCGAGCUGACGCUGAGGCGCGACAGCGUGGGGAGCAACAG